GCAGGGGCGAGGCCGGCCGCGAGCCCAAAUCCAAAGAAGUGCACGGCGUCGAGCGUGGCGGUGGAGCAGAGCAACACGGGUGAGAAGGCCGGGUUCGACCCUGUGUUCGAGGUGGAGGUGCGCAACACCUGCGGGUGCGCCGUCCGCGCCGUGUACCUCCGCUCCGAGGGCUUCGCGAGCUCCGUCGCCGUCGACCCGCGCCUGUUCCGCCGGGAAGGCCGCGACUACCUCGUCGGCGACGGCGGCCGGAUCGAGCCCAACUCGGCCGUGCGGUUCAGCUACGCCUGGGACCGCGCCUUCCGGAUGACGGCCGCCGCCGUGCACGACGACUGCUCCUGAUCGGUCUCCGGCGAAAGCGAGCUGACAAAUUUGCCUGGCAAUCCAAAAAGGAGUACUGCGCAGUUGAACCUUACUUCUCCGAGUGAAGUGCAAUAGCACCUGUAACGAGAUCGUUUUUCUUUCCAGUCCCUGGAGAUACUCGUCUGACAGUGAGAUCACUUUAUAAAACACAUGUUCUCAGCUUUUUAAUUCGCAAAAAAAAGUUUAGUGUUUGUUAAGUAGUUGAUUAGCUUUACGAAGUUCAUUAGCUUGAUGAAUCAUACUAGUACUAGUUGUUGAGUAUGUUUGUCUGUGCGCGUGUCCAAGGCUCCAAGCAUCCAUGUACGAACCGGAAUCUUAUGAACAAAAAGGAUAAGCGAGAGGAUCCAAUUUUUCGCUGCAGAGAUUUUCAGGUGGUGGGAAUGAUUGGUUGCUGGUGCUUAGCAGCGAAGGCACUCCACAGACUUGUAUAGUGUCGGCGAUGUAUGCCGGUCUCAGUUUUUUCGUCUCUGUAUGGGAGAAGACUUGCCUUGACGGCCACAGCCUUCACAUGGGCAUGGCUUCAGCAUGGAAAUUUCCUCGGAAGACUUGCUUAGUCUCUGUUUGAAUUGAUUAUCCUUUGGACGCCUGUUCUACUUGAAUAAUAACUCGGCUAUCCGUUAAAAAGGCGCAAUGUUGGAAACAAUGGUUUGGUUAAUGGACCACAAACAAAAUAUCCGGCGAGCUUAACACCCUUUUAAAAGGGUAAUGUUUGUUUGCUGUUUCUAUAUUCUAUACUUGACAUGAGGACUGAUAUCUAUACCUAUUAUUAAAGCAAGCAAUGUCUCUGGAGUUUUGGUACGUCACCCUAAUUUUGCAAAAAAAUCCUGACGUUUUGUGAAAUCAACCCGCAGUCCAAUUCUGAGUAUAGGGGGGCUCGGUUGGAAAAAAUAGGAAAGCGAGGGGGUUAAAGGGGAAAGAGCUCAGCUCCCUCGUCCCCCUCCCCUCCCUCGGGGGAUCGAGACGCCGCCGCUCCGUCCGGCCCGUCCGGCUCCGGGCCCCUCCCUUGGGGGAUUGAGAUGCCGCCGCUCCGUCCGGCUUCGGGCCCCUCCCUCGGGGGAUCGAGACGCUGCCGCUCCGUCCGACUCCGAGGCUGGCGGCCAGUUCCCACCUUCGUCCUCCACCCCAUCUCCACCGGUGACAUCCUACCGCCGCUCCGUCCAGCUCCGGGGCCGGCGGCCGGUUCCCACCUUCGCCCUCCACCCCAUGUCCACCGACGACAUCCCGCCGUCCUCCGACAUCGAUGCCAUCAUCCUCCGGUUCCUGCGCCACUUCAGGACCCGCACGACGCUGGCCGUGUCGACCCGGUAAUGGCCACCGCAUCCUCGAGGCGGCAGCAAAGCGGGCAGUGAUUGGGGUGGAGGCUAGACUGCUAGGAGAGCUCGCUGCCGAAUCGGAUCGGAAUGGAGGCUGACUCGGGGCCAGACUGCCAGGAGAGUUUGCUGCCGAACCGGAUCAGAAUCGAGGCCGACUCGGAUAGGAAUCGAGGUUGCGUUCUUGCCUAAAUUUAACGUUGCGCAUACAUAUUUACAUUAUGAUAAUAUAUCCAUUCUGCGUUCAAUGUUGUUUACGGUGUUCUUCAAUGUAUGCAGAUAAUGAGAAGACUGAUGCAUCUGCCAAGAAAAAACAAGAAAAAGAAGUUUAAGACCAAGGCUGAUGGUGAUGCAAUGGACCUGAAUAAGCCCUCCAAUGCUGCUGAUGGUGAAGCUGAGCCUGGAACCGAGAAGAAGAAGAAAAAGAAGCAUAAGCUAGAGGAGGAGACCCAGGAGCAGGAGAAUGGCGCUGCCAAUGGUGACGCUGAGGUUAACGAAACUCCCAAGAAGAAGAAGAAGAAGAGCCGCGAAGUUUCAGAGGAAGCUGAACCUAAGACAGCCACUGAAGGGAAGAAGAAAAAGAAAAAGAAGUCCAAGGCCGAGGAUGAUGAGUAGUUUACCUACUAUAUGGUGAUGAAUUCGAGUAUUUGUUGAAAACAGAGAUGAACAUCUAGAUUGUGGUCCAUGCAGAGUUCGAUGAAAUCAUGCUCGACUAUGAAAUUGCAUAGGUAAAUUGCAGUGGAUUGAAUUACCUUAUAAAUCAGUUUCUUUUUAUAGGGAUACAUACCUCCUUUAUGAGCUGAUGCAUCCAUUUCUUUGCUGAUGUUUUUCAAAUUCAAAUUCAGCUUGCAGUUCAAAUAACGCGCUGCAGUAUGCUUGCUGUCUUUUGUUUUUGGUUCUACUUGUGCACAGCCGUACACAGCAAUAUGAUAUGAGUUGAGAUUUGGCUAUUGUUCUCACUAAAUCUGUUACUAAAGACUGUACCUACUGUUUGAACCUGUACCUGCUCAUCAUGUUUUAUCAGAUUUGAUUUACAUCAGAUUUGCUAUCCUGUAAAAAUAUGUGCAGUAGGAUUGGUUCUUUUAGUUUUAUGAUAGCAUUACUAUGUGGUUCUUUUAGUUUUCGAGAAAGAGGAUGCCCUCCUUUUGUCUACCAGAUGCAGCCAAUCACUCAGCACUCGACAAGUUUAGAAGGCUUGAGCAUGUGCCAAACAACUAGCUUAAAUUGCAUGAUCAGAUAGCUGGGGCGUCUCAUUCUUUGAGUAAUGGUGAAAAUAUCAAGCAAAUAAUAUGGCUGAUAGGAGUACUGCUUAAAUGUGAAUGUGUCAUGUUUUCACUCUUGGAUGUUAGAAUUGAUGCGUGGUAAUCAGUAGCUACUAAAAAACUUCUUAAACUUAGGAAAUGUUAAAUGUUACGGGGAACCGAAAGGAAAAAAAAAGAUAUGGCAGUAUUUGUGUUGGUAUAAAAUAUUAUUAGUUUGAAAAAUACAAUGGGUCUUUUACCAUAGCAACGCACGGGCAUUUUGCUAGUAAUACGUAAAUAGCAUGUUAUUCAUGUGAGUCACGGCAAUGACGACUUAACCCAAGUUGCCGAAAUAGACAUCUAUGCUUGCAGUCUGCUUUUAUCUAAAAGUUUUGCUGGAACCAACAAAAAGAAAAGAGCACUGAUCCCUUCACAUCAAACUAGUUACAAACAAGCUCAAAAAGGUAUCCCCUUUGCUUGCUCACUGUUCCGUUUUUCCUCGCAUCUUUAGAAUAUCGUGUUCCUUUUACCCCUUCUUUAACUGGUAAAUAAUUGGCUUUCCCCUGUACUAAAAUUGACACAAGGACUAACACGGUAGCAUAUAGAUGGUGAAUGUUGUUCAUGAUAGCCAAGACAGUGAAGACAUGAUCUAAACUGUGAGAUUCAUUCGUAGAAGAGCCUGCAAUUUACAGCCUAUCACGCUUUUUAUAAAGUUUGAUUACAUUGGUCGUUGGUGAGCGAGGCUUAGUCACCUACGCCAAAAAAACAGUUGGUCCAAGUCUAUUUUGUUGUGUUAGUUGCAACCAAUCUUCAAUAAUGUCGAGCAAAAUAAAGGACUGGAAUCGGAUGUUUUUGUUGGGUUUUUAGGCCUUGUUUAUUUGAGCUUCCUGAGAGCUUCUUCGUGUGAAAAGCUAGAAGCUCAAAUAAACAGUGAACUUUUUGUGCAGCUUUCAGAAAGCUGGAAGUUCAGGAAAACUGAGUUUACAUGGAAAGCUAGAAAGCUCAGUUUUAUGAGCUUUUCAUAGUUUUUUGAGCUCAGAAAGCUAAACACAUCUUCUAAAAGCUAGUAUUAACUAUUCAGAAUCAAGAAGCCAGCAGUAGCUUUUCUUUUCAAAGAAGCUCAAAAGCUGCAACUCAAACAAACAAUCCUUUAUAAUUUCUAGCCUACAUAAUUUUUUUUCUUAGCUGAUGUCGAGGGACGGCCAUCUAUAAUAGAUUUUCGUUCUCCCUGUUACUGAGGUCAUUCUUUCAUCCUCAGCAUCUCGACAAUCAUCUUAGGCAGACUUGAAUCACAUGUGAUCUUCUCCAAUCGACAACUCAGGUUCAGGGUUUCGUCUGCACAUCACCACACCACGAAGAUGGUCAUCAUCUGACCAUUAUCUUAUCCAUCUCGGGGGUUCGUCUACCUCAACAGAGUUUAUAUUGUCCCUUCUACUCUUCUAGUAGACGCGGGCUCAACCCUGCCGCGAGCUUAGCCGUGGAUAUAUACAUCGAUUUGCAGGUUGUAGUCGUUUAUCUGCUCCUAACUCGAAGAAUCUGAAUCACACGGUAUCCUAUUUGCCGCACGUGUUGUUCAAGUGUGUCAUGAAUCAUGACAAUGAAGUCACAUUCAUAACUCAGAAAUAGAUAGUGCUUGCAAUCUUGAGUUGCAGAUCCUGCAAAACCAGACAGAUAAAAUAUUAGAAGCUUUACACCAAACUUAGCAAGCAAUUUCCAAAAGAUACCACCUUUACCCACCACUGACGUUUGGCCAGCAGGAGAUCCAAGCUUGCAUCAAUUAAUUUACUCACUGGCUAUUUUUCUCCAUAUUUUCAGCAUAAAGGCAAGUGGCAAAGCAAGUGGAAGUGAUAAGUUUCUAAAGGCACCUGCACUUGCCCACAUUGAUUUCUGACAUGUCCUCGGACUGUCCAUGAUAAUCUGUUGACCAAAAGCAGAGCACGAGCAGUGGCAGGUUUCAGACUUGAGAUUCAUCCACAGCACCAUUUGGUCUGGACUCUGUUUGGUUCAUGGAAUUAGUAUUUCGUUACUUUCUCUCUCCUCGAAGUGUUUUUUGAGAUUUGGGAAAUUUAAAGUACUGGUACAUCAUUACCUCGGCCCUUUGAAGCACGGAUGAAGAUUAGUAGUGAGGAAUAGUUUCAUCACACCAAAAUUCAGCUUAUGACAUAUUAGACUCGUUGACAUGUAAAUGCUCUUUCUAUCACAGUAUCCAGGAUCUGAGAAAUUGUAAUAAAUGUGCUAACAAUCACAAUUCUGGUCAAAUUUCCACAUAUUUUUUGGUAUAUGCCUAAAGAAAUCAUUCGAAGAGGAGCCUAAUCGUGGACCUUACACCCCUUGGCCUUAUCACGCUUUUCAUGUACGAUUAACUUGGUUGUUGGUGAGCGAAUUUUAGUCAUCCAUGCAAAAGCAAAAGUCGGUCCAAGUCUAUUUUUAUCUGUUAGCUGCAACCAAUUCUAAAUAAUGUCCGAAGAAAUAAAGGAUCAGAUGUUUCUGUUUUAUUUUAGAAUAUCCAGCUCAGGGUUUCGCCUCGCUAAUAAGAUUUUAUCUUGUGCCCCUCCUACUCUUCUAGUAAACUCGGCCUAGACCCUGCCGCGAGCUUGGUCGUAGUAUACAUCCAAACGCACACACUCUCUGAAGACUCACCAGUUGACUGGCCAGAUAUAUAAUUAUAAUUAUAUAUUAUUUUUUUAAGCGGCCGCUGCUCAGUUUGCAUUGAUAUAGAAGAGGAACAAAACUGUACAUGUAAAAAAAAAGCAAAAAGGAAAAACUCCGUGGUUGAUAGUUACACGUAAUAAUUAUAAUUAUAUAUAUACAUAUAUGUAUAUAUGCUUGCUUCUUAUUGGACAGGAGUUCCGUGGUUAAUACAUGCAGUGUACGCACAUAGACGCAACGGCUCAAACGUAUUCAAGUGUCUGUGACACUGACAUGUCGGCCUCCGAUUGUGUUCCUGUGGGAGAAGACUGUGGCAUUGACGGCAACAGGUUCGCAAAUCACGUGGGCGGUGGGCAUGGCUACAUGGAAAUUUCCUGGAGGACUUUGUGCUGUGAGUUACAUUAACUAUUUGACCUGAGCUUCUCGUCUGAUAGAACACACAUCUGGGGAUUGUUCCACAUUAAUUAUGGGACCUCCAUAUGGUUAGAUGUUUGAUGCAAUGAAUCAAUUUUGAUCAUUCACUGGAAAACAUUAUGCUAACAACGUUGUAAAAGUAGUUUCAGUCAUUUCUUUGCUCUGAACUUGAAGAAAUCGACCAUGCGCACGGUAGCCUAUUUGCAUCAUGUGUUGUUCAAGUCUGUCAUGACAAUGAAAGGCACAUUCUCAAUUCUGAAAAUAGAUAGUUCUUGCAAUCUUGAGUUAGAUAAGUUCUUUAGACACCAAACCAGCAAGCAAGUUCCAAAAGGUACCCCCUUCAUCCACCACUCACAUCUGUCCAUCAGAAGAUCCAAGGUCACACAAAUGUACUUGCUCACUGGCAAAUUUUCCUUCACAUUUUCAGCAUAAAAGGCAACUAACAAUGCAAGUGAAGUGAUAAGUUUCUAAAUGCUCUUGCACUUGUUGCCAACAUAUUGCGUACUGACGUGUCCUUUGGACUGCGCAUUCUAAUCUUAAUAUGUGGACCAAAAGCAGAGCACGAGGAGUGGCAGGAUUCAGAGUUUCAGACGUACAUCCUUUCCCUCUAUAAAUAGAGGGGGUUGGCAUCACAAGCACCUUUCCAUGCCACAAGCAGAGGUCGAGAACCCAGCUAAACAGAGCAACACCGUCAUGGCCCACUACAUGAAGCUGCUGAUUCUACUCCCUGCCCUUCUCCUCAUCGUCCAGGCGCAAGGUACGAACCUCUUCGCAUCGGUCUCGGCUGUUUCUGAGGAAAUGCAAUCAGAAGUCGAUUGAGAAACUCAGCUAUCUGUUUCUUUUUUGUUGUCGUUCAUGGCGGUCGUACGGUGAUCAGGGGCGAGGCCGGCGGCGAGCCCGAAGAAGUGCGCCGCGUCGAGCGUGACGGUGGAACAGAGCAACACUGGGGAGAAGGCCGGGUACGACCCGGUGUUCGUGGUGGCGGUGCGCAACACCUGCGGGUGCGCCGUCCGCGCCGUGUACCUCCGCUCCGAGGGCUUCGCCAGCUCCGUCGCCGUCGACCCGCGCCUAUUCCGCCGGGAAGGCCGCGACUACCUCGUCGGCAACGGCUGCCGGAUCGAGCCCAACUCGGCCGUGCGGUUCCGCUACGCCUGGGACCGCGCCUUCCGGAUGACGGCCGCCGCGGUGCACGACGACUGCUCCUGAUCGGUCUCCGGCGAUAGGAAGCUGCCAGUCC
rnacentral:lncRNA from 1 species